rnacentral:lncRNA from 1 species
GCAGUUAUUGACUUGAAGCUUGAAACAAACAAACAGGUGAAAAUUGAAGAAGUUGUUGCUGCGGAGGUAGAGAAAAGGUUGAAAGCACUAAACAUAGGUGCUCAGAAAGUGGCUCAAGUGCAACAGGCACCGAAUGAUGUGUGUGGCAUUUGUAAUGGACCACACAAUAAUGUUCAUUGCUUUGCAACACCGCAGCAGAUAGAGGAUAUAAAGUUUUUAAAGCAAAACAAUCCCUACUCCAA